AUACGGAGGGUGCAAGCGUUACUCGGAAUCACUGGGCGUAAAGCGCGCGCAGGCGGUCUUUUAAGUUGGAUGUGAAAGCCUACGGCUCAACCGUAGAACUGCAUCCAAAACUAUUAGACUAGAGUGUGGGAGAGGAAGGUGGAAUUAGUUGUGUAGGGGUAAAAUCCGUAGAGAUAACUAGGAAUACCAAAAGCGAAGGCAAUCUUCUGGAACACUACUGACGCUGAGGCGCGAAAGCGUGGGGAGCAAACAGGAGUAGAUACCCUAGUAGUCC
rnacentral:rRNA from 1 species